CUCUCCCUUCCUGCACAGAGCUCUGCGUGCUCAGGCACCUGCACAGCCACACAAAAAUGGCUUUUUUGGGGCAUCUCUGGGACUUGUUUGCACCACUGCCACCAGUUUUUUCCAGGUGUCAUGACAAAUAGAGAAAGCAGAAUAAUAUAAAGAAGAGAGAUAUGAUAGUUCAGAAGUUUAAAUCCCAUAAAAAUGAUGCUUAUCUGGAUAUUAAUUCUCCACUGGAUUACAUUUUCAUUGAGCUAUGGCCUCCUCAGGGAUCUCCAUGCACCAAGGAAUCCAAGAGAAUGUAAAAAUCCCAUUGCUUGGGAAAGAGUGUGAAUUGUUUCAAAUUGACACAGCAGUCCUGAAUAGUCACUGAUGCUGAAUAUCCUGGUGAUCAAUAUCCCCUUCACUCAACCACAUUAUCUAACCAGAUACUUGCACAGCAAGAGGCAGUGCUUGAAGACACCUGCUCUGAAAUUUCCUCCUGAGAGAAAGCUCCAGGAAUGAGCCUUUGGGGUGGACCUUGUCCCUGCACCAACACUGGGGUCAGCUCUGAGGACAACUGCUGUGACAGAGCAACUGAGCUGCAGGGCCAUGGCAGGGGGGCUGGUGGCAGGAAUGUGGCACAGCAAGGGAGGCUGGAGCAUCCCAGAAUUCUCAGAAUUCCCAGAAUCACUGGGUUGGAAGAGACCUCCAAGACCAUCGAGUCCAGCCCAGCCCCAACAGCCCAACUGA